UACGUAGGGGGCAAGCGUUGUCCGGAUUCAUUGGGCGUAAAGGGCGCGCAGGCGGCCCGGAAAGUCGGAUGUGAAAACUCGAGGCUCAACCUCGAGCGUGCACCCGAUACUGCCGGGCUUGAGGCAGGUAGGGGAGAUCGGAAUUCCUGGUGUAGCGGUGAAAUGCGCAGAUAUCAGGAGGAACACCGGUGGCGAAGGCGGAUCUCUGGGCCUGUCCUGACGCUGAGGCGCGAAGGUCAGGGGAGCAAACGGG
rnacentral:rRNA from 1 species